AUUACCCACUCUCGACACAGGGAGGUAGUGACAAGAAAUAACAAUACGGGGCUUAAUGUCUUGUAAUUGGAAUGAUGGGAAUUUAAACCUCUUCCAGAGUAUCAAUUGGAGGGCAAGUCUGGUGCCAGCAGCCGCGGUAAUUCCAGCUCCAAUAGCGUAUAUUAAAAUUGUUGCAGUUAAAAAGCUCGUAGUUGAAUUUCUGCUGCAUUACAUAUCUCUUGUUUGAGUUUGUUUUUGUGGCUUAUUUCGGAUUGAUUUUUUUAUCUUUCCAGAUGAACACUUUGAAAAAAUUAGAGCGCUCAGAGCGCGCUUUUGCCUUGAAUAUUUUAACGUGGAAUAAUAAAGUAAGACUUUGGCUCUAUUUUGGUGGUUUUAGGCACCAAAAAAGUGGAUAAUAAGAACAGGUGGGGGCAUUCAUAUUUAA
rnacentral:rRNA from 1 species